UAGUUAUUACCAGCAGCAGCUGGACUGGGAGCUAAAAUAAAGAUGAAAUUCUAUUGGAGUAAAACCUCAUGACCACGCCCACUACUAUUGGUUAAAUUUAGAUUUCCCGCCAUUUGUCUAUUUGCAAGUGUCUCGUGAAAGGAAAGCGUGGACAGAUCGAGAGCGUGGAUCCGCCGAACAUCCGUAGUCAUUCACUGAACCACAGCAUUUCUUCACUUCUGAACUUAAUCAGAGUUCCAGGAUGCAGGCUGUACGAGUGAAGUACAGGGAUUGUCAGAAGUACAUUUGUUAUGAGUUGCAACUGACCUUCAAAUCCUUUUUGGAUUGUGUUGCCAAUAAAUUUGACAUUCCAACCUUGGACUUAAAAGUCUAUGAUGAAUCGAAGACUGAAGUUGAUGAGGAGGUGUUUGAGUUUCUUCUAAAGAAGCAAGACCUUGGUGUGCUGGAGAUUUGUUUACCGCAAGACCCAAAUCCUGAUGGGUAGUUGCUUAUUAGCUUAGUGCUUCACAUUCAUCCAUACAGUCGUAGCUAGCCUAACACAUGUUCUGAAUAUGUGAGACAAGCAGAUAUAUCUGCUGAUUUUCUUUUCUCAUUUUUAUAUUUUAAAAUGAUCUUUGUUUCUGUGCUCACCUAUCCCAUCCCGUUUAGAACAGUAGUGGGCCUAAUCAAUUCAAAACGUAACAUUUUUGCAUUCCGCUUGUCAUUAACAAAAGUCCUCUAAUCAUAAUAAUGGAUGUUUCCACCUAAAUUGUGUUAUAAUUACAGUGUUAUUCACACCAGUUAAAUGUUAACAUGAUUGCUAGAUUCGUUGAGCUUCUCUGCAAGCAGCUCCUUAUCAAAAUACAGUGGAUACAAUGAGGGGGACUCCAAUGACACCAUUAUAUUGCAGCAGAGUACAAGAAAGACAGCUGAGGAUAAUCGUCUAUCUCAUAUGAUUGAAGACAUUUUGAACAACAAACCUGGAGGAGAGAGGAUCAUGAUUUAGUAUGCUCGGACAAAAAGCCUAACAGAUAGCAGAAGACGCGAUAUGGCCAAGAUAUUAGUUGCACAAAUUACAAGUGAACAUGGGUAUAUGUCAUAUACUCAUUACAUACCUUACCACCUAACACAAUUUUUUAGCAGAAGUUUUGAUUUACACAUUAAUACUUUUGUUUGGAUCUCAAACAGUAAAGUGUGUGUGUCUAGGACAAGUCCUUCAAGGCGUGUUAGAGGACUACGCAAAGGGCAUCAUUGCCUUGUUCCCAUACCUGGCCGAUCCUAGGAGCAAAUUUGGUUAUGUAAGUACAUUAAAAACAAAGUCUAAAGUCUAGCAUCAGAGGGACGACAGAAGACCAUGCAUCAGUCACUGACAUGUAAGUGAUUGUAGUUAGUCUCAUUCAUGACACAUGACUAGAUAAUAAUUGUAUCUGAACAUCUGUAUAAGCAAGGGUUUCUUAGUCUCUUACUCUUUUAGUAUUUCUUAGUAUUAAUAUAAUAUAAAUAAACCCUACUUUUCAUCUGGUGACAUAACUGCAUGCAUGGCCAUCUUUGCAGAGUUUCCGAGCCCUGUUUAUUAUAUCUUAUGACACAAUAUUGUAUGCUUGUAUAGAGCAGGCAAACCCAGUAAUCUGUAAAAGUUUCACCAUGUUACAGGUGGUCCAAAAGCUGAUGGGCAGUUUUCCUCUCUAAAGGAGUCUCUAACAUACAGCUGAAGCAUACAGCUGAUGAAACAAUUGUAAAGGAGAAGAUGAAGCAGAUGUUCGCCUAUUGUCAAAAUAUGGUUCAUGACCCAGUGAAGUCCUCUGAAAUAUUCACAACGUUUCCAAGAUUCCAAGACAUAGCAGCAAUGAUUUUAGUCUGAUGUUUGGUGAUGCAACCUCUGCAAAGUUCCUGGAGAAGUGGCCUACUCUCUACAAGGAGAAAGUCAUUGACCAAAGCAGUGGCCUCACACAGACAGGCGACCUGGUUCAAAAUGCUGAAUCCACAACAGAAGUGGAAAAUGGAUGGGACAGUGACAUGUCCUCCAUUUUGGUCCUUGUCCACCUUCUGCCACCGUCACCUCAUGGCUGCAAGAGACCAGGAAAAAUCUCAACCAGACACACCAGUGAACACAUUGAAGUUUAUCACGGUGUCAUUACAGUUGACUGUUCUGUCCCCAUUCCUAAUCCUAAUAACUACUUUUAAGAUUAUGGACAAAUCAUGACUGGGACCAGUAUCCAGGGGCAUCUGGAGAGCAUCAUGGAAAGCCUUCAACCCUAUCUGCUUGCUGUGGGUUCCCAGAGGAGUGGGAUUCACAAGAACUCCAUUGUGAUUGACAAACAUGCAAUACCUUGUAAGUCACCAGACUCUUGCCUGUUUUGAUGAGCUUUUCAAAGCUCAUGUUUGUCUUUGGUACCUUGUAUAUUCAGGAUCUGGUAAAUGUGUACAACUUUUGCAAACCACAAUUUAUGAAAUUGAUGUUGAUACCACCAAGGUUAAUCCUAGGGUUGCAGAGUUGAGGGCUCGGAUGCUGCAUUGAGUUACUAAAAGUUUUGAUGUUUUGAAGGGUUAAAACGCAGCAUAGGAAAUAACCUUUUUCCUUUCACACAAACGUUUUCAUAUCAUUCAUCUAAAAUGUUGUGUUUUGCUUGCAAAAGCACACAGGCAAAUGCCAAUUCCUUGACAAAACACUUGAAGUUGGUCCACAGACGUUUGUCAAGGAAAGACACUUGGUCUUAAAUGUGGUCAGGCUGGUUGUUCACAAGUUUAUGGCACUUUUUCUGGGUUCAGAAAGGAUCUUUAUAAAGCACAUGAACCUUGUUCUGAUCACAGUGAAGGCUCCUGAAUGUAGCACUAAGUCAUUUUGAUGACCUGCCAUCAACAAGUUCCCCUUCUGACUCAGUCCUUGCCAAUAAGAGUCUUGUAGACAGCUGCGCUGCAACCAUAGCUGAACUUAAAGUGGCAGGUGUAGGUGAAACAACCAUUAGCUCUUUGGUAAUUUCCAAUGAAGAGAUAGUUGAUGAUAUUCAUAUUCAAGCUAAAGGAUCUGGGAAGAAGUGUCUGUCUAUACAGGAGCCUAUUAAAAGUGACAUUGAGUGUAAAAUUGAUCAGUGUUUAGAAAAAAUGUAAAAUCCCUUUGGUGUAUUAAAUUCUGAAAGUAAGAGAAGGCAGUAUUUUACAGAAAAGUGGGGAAGGGUAGACCCAGUUGAAUGCGUUCUUGGUACAAGAUUUGAUACACAAUACAAUCGGACUACGGGAGGCUACGAUCAAAUUAUUGUUACUGAUAUAUUUGUUUACAUCCCAAUUUUGAAAACAUUAGUUUAUUUACAAACACCCUAAUAUAAAGGAGAUGAUGCAGACUGAUUCCAGUUCAAGAGAACUUUAUGACUUAUGUGAUGGAGAUCUGUUCCAAGAGCCAUGCUCUAUUUUCAAAACAGAAGCAAUUCAGAUACAGCUUCUCUGAGAUGAUUUUGAAACUGUAAAUCCUCUUGGAUCAAAACAGGGAAAACAAAAUAAAUUAGGAGCAAUCUAUUUCAAUUUAUGUAAUUUUUCUCCAAAGUUCAAAUAAUUUCUGCUUAAUAGUAAUUUGGUUGCUUUAUUUCAUGCCCAAGACAUUAAAACAUAUGGCUUUUCAAAAAUCUUGAUCCAAUUGUGCAGGAUAUUAAAAUACUUGAGGGAUGGAUUUAUGGUUCCCUUGUAUGAUCAACCAGUGUAUGGAACUAUUGUCCAAGUCACAGGUGACAACCUUGGUCUUCACUGUUUAUUUGGUUUUGUCGAAUCAUUCAUUGCCAGAUAUUGUUGUCGCUUUUGUCUUGCUGAGACAGACGACUUUCAGACUGAAUUUGAUGAAGAUUCACCCAAGAUAGUUAUGCGAACUCGAGCACUUCAUGCAGAAAGAACACUGCCAAAAAAAAGGCGACAAAUCCCAGUCUUCCCUAUGUGAUGGGUGUUAAACGUUCUUGCGUUCUAAACUCCUUGCCGUACUUCAAUACACGUGAAAACUUCUCUCUCGAUAUUAUCCAUGAUCUCUUGGAGGGAGUGGCACAAUAUGAAAUGAAACUGCUAGUACUGCACUUGAUAGACAAGUACACAACAUCAAAUGAAAUAGACAGGAGAAUAAAGAGCUUUAACUGUGGUUACAUGGAGCAAAACAACUAACCUCCUGCAUUCAAGUUUGUUUAUUGUCUCAUACUGUUUCCCGAGCUCUUUAAAACCAAGAUGUAUUGUAUUGCAAUAUUGGCUUUUUGAUUUACUUUUAAAGGAGGGACAGAUGCCAAAAUGUAAUUUAACUUUAACUGUGGUUACAUGGAGCAAAACAACAAACCUCCUGCAGUGAAGUAAGGAGAGAACUCUAAUGACUUGGGGCUAAAUGCUAUCCAGUCCUGGUGUUUACUUCGCAAUCUACCACUUCUCUUUGGAGACUUAGUUUGUCCAAUUGAUCUACACUGGUAUUUACUGUUGCUGUUGCUUCAGUGAUAUCUCCAAUGAUAUCAAAGGGUGUUACAAUUUUUUUGAAACACUUAAUCGCAGAACACCACAGGUUAUUCAAGCAAUUGUUUCCAAAAAAGAGGCUGCUACCGAAGCAUCAUUUUAUGGUGCAUUACCCCACAUGUAUGCUUGAAAUUUGACCAAUUUUACAUAGCUAGUGCAUGUGCAAAAUGAAAAUGAAGCAAAGCAUAAUUCCUUUAAAAAACAAUUACAAAGCUUAAAUGUAACAAACAUUGGCAAAAAGAACACAAGUCAAACAGCAUACAGUUGGUAGACAUUUGACACCAACAGAGUCAUGAUUGGUCCAGGUAAAAUGUUAUCUUUAAAU